rnacentral:tRNA from 1 species
GCCGAGAUAACCAAGGUGGUCACGGUGUGUGUCUGAAAAACACAUUAUGCGGGUUCGACUCCUGCUCUCGGCA